CAAUUCUGUGAGUGAUACAUCAUUUUCAGGAUAAUUUCUCUUCUUAAAAUUAAACAUUAUAAAUAAUAUUUGACUUAUUUUAAAUGCAGCAGGAGUGGUAGAAAAUACCACUAGAGCACAAAAAGGUACAUUGCAAAAUUUAUGAAUUCAAUUCAGAUUUAUUAAUAGGUUUCCAAAAUAAACUGUAAAUAGGAAAUGACUAGAGUUUGGUUAAUUGAUAAGUACAUCAGUUGGCUAUUGUUUGUUUAAUAGAUAGUAUGUCAAUUAUUUUUGUACACACAUUUAAUGAAAGAUAUAAACACAUACUCAUAAUGAAGGGUAUAUUUAUGCCUCAUUAAUUUGACAUGUUCCAUAUCUUUAGAAAAAUCUCAAGUAGUCUGCAUAUCUGUUUUUGGCUCUAAGUCUCUUCUGCCAUCCCUAUGGAACUUUUAGCCUACACACUGCAGUUGUUUUCAGAAAAUAAAGGCAUCAUUAACUUCUCAGGGUUAUGGUAGUGACUUAAGGCAAACAGACCCAAGACUCAUCUUGUAAUACCUAACCAAGCAGUUAUAGUUCAUAAGCAAUCAUGUAACUGGUGACAUUUUAAAUCUCCAGUCUUUGACUUUGUCAUUGGUUGACUUUUGUCUUCAGGAAAUGUUCUACAUUUCUUGGAAUACAGUAAAAAUGCCUAAGUCAGUUUGGUUGUUGUCAAGUUAUUCAGCUUUUUCUCACCUCUUACUAGUACUCCGCCUCUUUGCUCUAGCAUCCAGCCAGACUACAUAGAAUUUCACAGUGAUCUUCCUCAGCUCCAGCUCUUGGCAUUUGCUCCUCCCCUCUAUCUGACAUAUGUUUUUGUUGUCCUUCUGGUAUCAACUUGCAUAUCUCCUCCAAAAAGUUUACAAUAUUGACCCAAAACUGGAAUGUCCCAUCUGUGUGUUCCAGUAGAGCCCUGUUUUAAAUCUGUCAUGAUAUCUAUUAACCUGUAUGAAAUAACUGCCUGUUUGUUUUUCAGAUUAUAUAAUACUAUAACAUUGCCAAGGAGUGGAUUAUCUCAUCUUCAUCCUGUAAUUCCAGUGUUUGUCACACGGUUGUUGAAUAAAUGAAUAAAGAAUGAGAAUGCCAGAAGCUCUGAUACAUAACCGUAAUGAUAAUUAUUUCAAUGCACAACUAUGGGUGCUGCUGAACUAGAAUUUGUAUUUUCUGCAACUGGCUCCUCUAGGAUCUACUAAUGAUUUACAUCUAAAAGAUGAAGUUAGUAAAGCAUCAGAAAAAAAAGAGUUCAUACCAUGGAAACAGAUUCCUCAUCGUUUAAGAAUACCAUAUGGUUGCGUAUAUAUGGGCAUGAAUUAAACAACUGGGCCUUUCAACAUUUUUGGAGAAGGCUAUUUCACACUUUUAAAAUGGAUGUGCUCCUAUAAGAUCAGAUAUUGUGUCGACCAGUGGUCAUGCCACCACCUAUUUAUUUGUCGGAAAUAUUGUUCACACAGUUAUAUGAAGUUUCUUGACAGGUGAUUAGCAGAUUUCCCCGUUCUUCAAACGACCAUUUCACAUCUACCUGCAAAGGAGAACAGCAAUCAGAAAGGUGAUGUCUCCCAAAUCAUCCAAGCUAAGAAAAAGUCUUUCUCUACUAUUAAUGAGAAGGUCCAUCACUAGAUUGAGAGUUCUUCUGGAAGUGAAUCUGCUUAUAUGUUCCCUAAAAACAACCCCUAGCGAAUUAGCUACUGAGAUGGCUAUAUUUUCAAACUCAAGCUGCCUUGGUGAAAGUAGCUCUGGAGUGGAGACAUGGGAUUUCUCAUGGAAAGUGAAAAUAACCCUCUGAAAAUAAGGUUUCUUCAAACUCUUCUGUUUUUCCACAGUAUGUUCUUGUUACUGAUUAUCAGAAAGCUGGUUUUGAGACUACAGCUUGGGCUAAAUUCAGUCAUCUGGCUGUCUGGGGGAGUAUGCUGACCUGUCUGGUAUUCUUUGGCAUCUACUCAACCAUCUGGUCCACCAUUCUCAUUGCCCCAAAUAUGAGAGGACAGUGCAUGAGAUUGAGCCAUCAACAGUGACAAACUGGAUCAUGGAAUCUCACAGUAUCGUUUGGAUAGAAAGGAGCCUGGCAAUCUUGUGGUCCCCAACACCUCAAUUUACCAAGGAAGCUGUGCAAGCUCAGGUCUCCAGGUUCAUCCCAAAGACCCCACCCUGGGGCUGCCCACAGUGUUCCUAUCCUUAGACCCCCAAAACAGGCUGCUGGGUCCUGUGCUUUAGGAACCUCUGCACUGGCCCUCCCUCGCUGGGUGUGUUCCUCUGCACAGAGUGAAAAGCUGUGAUGCACACAGUCAGUCUUCCCACUUCUAAUCUGUUGGGGCAGCUGUUUGCAAGGGAUGUGCACAGAGUAGAUUGAUGUUUGCACUGGUGUUUCCACCCACGUUUAAAGGAGGAUGUUCAUCCUGGGACACAGAACCCAGGUGGAAAGGGAAGAACAGUGGUUCAGACUUUAAUUGGUGUUUCCCACCCAGGAAUACAUAUUUUAAGGGCAGGACUGUGCAUGGCAUAGCUGUCUGCUAUAUCUGCCUCACUUACUCUGCAGAAGUAAACAAAACCCCCCGGGUUGACCCAAGUCUAGACCGUGUCCAGCUGUUUCUUGUGAGGUAGCCACGAGUAGUGUUGCUUGCCUUUUCACCUGGUGUCUCAAUUGGCUAAUAUCCCAGGGUGCAGAGGACUUCCACUGAGGGUGCUGAGGGGGAUGGACCUGUCCUACAGGAGUGGGCAUGCUUGCCCUCUAAUGCAUUUUUGCUUUUUGUAAGAAAAGAGGACAAAUGUCUAAAGUGCUUUUCAGUUCUUUUCCAAAUUCAGACAAUAGAGGAAAUUAGGGGAUUGAAUAAACCCAAAAGAUUGUUGUGUAGCAAAAUGAGCAUUUGCAACAAAGAAACUUUGUGUGUUUAAAGAAAGCAAUUCUAUUUUAAAGCAGCAUGAUUGGGCCCCACAAAACAAAGUGUCCGCUACGAGACAACAAUCCUUUGGUAAGGUAUUGGGGCUUAGAAUAUCUGUUUUGUGCUCUCUUCCUUCUGGUUCAGGGUUGAUCUGCUAUGGUAAAUAUUUUAUUUUGGGAAGGGGAAUUUUUUGGUACUGGACAAUAAACAGGGCCACAGCUGAUUGCCACAGACAAUUUUCUAAAUUAGAGGAUAGUGACAGCUGACAGGAUGGGUCACUUGGUUUGUGACUGGCAAACUAAGCCCAUUUGUCUAGGUUUCUAGGUUGGCGAAUACUCAGAAGUGAAGGGUAUUCCAGGAAAAAAUUGCUAAUUUAUAGGCCCAGCACCCUUCCGCUGCGCAACUCUGCUAUCAAAAAGACUGCCUUUUUUUUUUUUU